UAGGACCCUGUCCUCCUAUUUUCAGUUGGUUUUGGCAGCGCGAGGACUAGGGUAAUGAUUAAUAGGGAUAGUUGGGGGCAUUAAUAUUUAAUUGUCAGAGGUGAAAUUCUUGGAUUUAUGAAAGAUUAACUUCUGCGAAAGCAUCUGCCAAGGAUGUUUUCAUUAAUCAAGAACGAAAGUUAGGGGAUCGAAGACGAUCAGAUACCGUCGUAUUCUUAACCAUAAACGAUGCCGACCAGCGAUUAGGAGACGUUGAAUACAAAACACCACCAUCGGCGCGGUCGUCCUUGGCGCGUUCGUGUUCACGCACGGGCGCGCGAGGGCGGUUUAGCCC
rnacentral:rRNA from 1 species